UCACAAUGUUCCCUACAGUAAGGCUGUCUCAUGAAAAAAGGACCAACCUUAAAACCUUUACCAGUGAGUGCACAGCGGGACCAGUCCGCCUCUCUCACACUUCCCCAGGGCCCUGAAACUUUUCAUCCGGCUUCUAUUUAUAGCUCCUCUCCUGACAGUGUGGGACGCAUUUAGAGUGAUGCAUAAGAUGCAAACAUUGAGCCUUUGUGUGAGCACAUGAUGCUCUGAGCUGAAGAGCAGACAGAACAGGAUGGUCCCUUCGCUUGGUACGUCUCAGAGACUGACCUCUGAGCUCCAUCGGUGUCUCUACAGAGAACACAGAUACAAUGUCUAGAGCUUCCUGAACAAGAGAUUUACCCACUUCUCUUUUUCAUAUUUGAACAAAAGAACCAAGACACACGGUAAGACGUGUACACUGGCCAUUUGGAUACCUACUAAGAGCAGAAGUGCUUUUCAAGUGCAGCUUUCUUUUUAAAAAGGAUCGAAUGAGUGAAGGUCAGCUUAGGUUUUAUUCCCCCCGCGGGAAUAUAUUAUAUUUCCAGCAAAGCAUAAAACAUGAACUAAACUAAAGGGCAAAAGCACAGUUACGCCUUGCUGAAAUGCCAUCAUGCACUAAUGUAUUUCACCUACUUACCACACAGUCUUAAAAAGCACAAACUUUCAUGCACAAAUAAAGAAAUAUCAAUUAUGGCAGCUUCUCCUGAGAGAAAGCUAUGGAAUCAGCAAUUUCAGCAAUUCGAAAGGCACAGCAGCAGUAACAUGAGUGAAAAAACAACAUAGGCCUACUCUCAGUUAAGGAUAUAAUAUCUGUAAUAUGUGAAAAGGAGUUGUGGAUCCACUUCAAAAAUAGCAUCAGAGGGAUAAAAGCACACAUUUUCCCUCUCAAGUGUCAAAUAAAAAUGACAAGUAGCAUGGUGGUAUUCACAUUAGGACUGUCUCUUAUCAUAAUUGUGCUGAUUCAUCGUGUAAUACUCGAAGACUCCUUACGCCGCCCAACAAACCCCAUCAUGGUGAAUCAAAUCCUACGUCCUCCCCGUACCCCUCCUGUUACAGACACCUGCGUUAUCUCUGCCUGUGAAGACACAACACACAGGGAGUUAAACAUGUGGGAGGACAGUGAGUUUGUCUGUAUCAGUGGGUGUAGUAUUUCUGACAGGUUUAUGUGGGGAAGCGUUCCCGGCCUUGAAGAAAAGCGUCAACAGGAUUUAUAAUCCUCCACGCAGACACUCAGAGCAUCGUAUCUUUCUUUAUUCUAGCAACAAACAUGAGACGCAUGUAGGAAUCCAGGGUCAAACACCACCUGUGGGGUCAGGCUCCUGUAAGGGGAUUUAUGUUUGCACUUGUUGUUUCAGUUUCGACUAGUGGGUAGAGAUUGAGGAAGUUAAAUGUAGAUUCUGGGGCAGUUUUCGCUCCUGGACUUUGAACUUUAGAGUCACCCGAAACCCAAACACCACUACAGAGUAGGUAAAUAUUUGCUUUUACCCCUUUACUUUCCUUUUUUCUUUGGAUGCUGUCUACAGCUCUUUUAUCUGUUUACAAGAGCAGCAUGUCCUGCAUUUAUCCUGUUGUGUCUGUAGUGUAGAUUGUGUAUUUAUAUCCAAGUUUAAAGGAUAUAAUCAAGGACUCAGAUUUAGACUCAACACGGAUAAAAAGUACGGUUUCUAAAGGAUGUUGUGGCCUUAAAAAUACUUGACAUCUCUCCUUGAAAGCUGCUCAAAGCUCAGCAUGAGUCAGUUAACGAGAAAAAGGCCCAACACAUUUGAAGCAUCAUAUCAGCUUAGCUAUAUGAUCAAAAUCUGAAAACAGAAGGACAGAUGGAGAGAAAAGGCGGCAGAAAGACGUGUUCACACCAAACCUCCAGACAUCAGAUCUGACGGUUGUCGUGCGAUGUGAACAGAAAUAGCUCAAAGUCUGCUCUUUUCAUCCCGGAUUACACCGCAUCCGCGUGAUUUUCAGAUGAAGUCAUCCUUUACUCUUUAUUUUGACUGGGAAGGCAUAAAGAAAGCUCUUAAUGAAUAGAAGCAACCACUAAAAGCAAACGCGUGGGAAAGCUUCAGGACUACAUUCAAAGGAGCAGCUUUGGCUGUCAAACAUUUUCAUGACACACUUCUAUUGUGGUUUAAAUUUGGAUGUAGGUCAUCGAGGGCCUGUUAAAACUGAUAGCGGGCAUGACUGACAUCAGGAAAAAUGGCACCUGAUCAAAACAAAGACACACACAGUAAAGAAAAAACAACACAGAUCAUCAAUGACUCUUUGAAUUCUGCCACUCCUGCAGUUGUUGCAUUUGGCUGCUUGUCCAGGUUAACCAGUCACCUGUUAAAUAGUUUAAAUCAUCCUCUACACUCUUACUUUGCACUCAAUCCCCCCACUCACAUAUUUAGGGAAUGUUUUUAUUGCAGUAAGGGGGAGGAGGUUGUGACAGGAGGGGGAGUCAGGCUUCAGUAUCGUACAAAAAAAAGCUGCCACACAUGUUCAGCAUGCAGGCGCCGUGUUAACAUCCAUGUGCUGAUAUUCACGUUAGGUUGAUGUAUCAGUUGAUUAAGUAAGCGGUGCAGUUUUGAGUGUUGACAAUGGGGACAAGAGUGAACAUACAUGCACAUUCCUCACUGUGGGGGUGGGGAGGAACCGAAGGAAAAGGGGGGUUUGUUUGUUUUGUCGCUCCCGUGCCUCCAGCCUUUCCACGGCCUCCAGCUUUGCGACCUCCACAGCCAGGAAAGAUCAGUGAUUACAAUCAACACUAAUCCCUGAUAGACACCAACAGAAGAUACUCUAAUCCCCGCUCUGACAGUCAUCCAUAAAAACCUGAUCCUGCAAGGUGUCGGACAAGGUGAGCCCUCUGUGAUUUAUGACUCGGGAACGAUCGGUGACCCGUGAUGUGGUGGACAAAGAGCUGUUGACUGAAAGCUGCAGUUGAGAUUUCCACAAAAGGCAAACAUCUUAAUUCAUGUUAAUGGACUUCGGAUGUGCUCAGGAAGUAACAAUAAACUCCAGUCUUUCAGGGCGCAGCUAAUCGCCCAUAACUUUGGGGAGCGGUAGCCGGAGCAGAAAGCUUUUUUCAUGGUGUCAUGUUUGUGCUUGCUCAGGCGCUUUUCAUCGACACACUUUAACCUUGACUGUCAGACAACACAUAAUAUUAAUAUAUGAGAGUUAUAAAUAGCACAGUCCGGCCUCAGGCGGUGCAGGCUAAUAGUUGAGUUGUGCGCUAUGUUUAUCCAAAUGUUCAAUAUGUGUUCACAAUGACAACAUGCUGCAGGGACUCGUAUCGACAUGAAGGAAAAUUACUGUCAGCCCAAGCAGAAGAAGAGGGAUCUGGAUGUCUCUACAGAGGACAAACACUCUGUUGAACUCAGCCAGAGCUCAGCCCUGAGGAUAGCCAACCAUCCGUGCAUUUGUUCUCUAUUAACCUUGCUCAGAGGUACAACAACCAGCUGAGACUGGCCAGCAUCAUGUCAGAGACCUUGAUCUCUUUCUGCGGUCUGUCACAGUGAAUUUCAGCCAGCAUUGACAGGCAGAGAGAAUCAAUAAUUGUUUACGGCUCUUAUAAAAAGUCCAUUAGGCAUCUGCUUGAAACGUCUGUUCUUCUAACCUGAUCUGUUAGUGGUCAGAGAGGCCGCGCAGGAGCAGAGCUCAUAUCAAUUUAGCAUCAUGCAAAAUUCUGAAUCAGGUUAAAUUCCAGGAAUUAAUCAUUUAGCCAGAGUAACUGACUGUGAUGCCUCGUGCCUGUCCAGAACAGUAUGAUUAUUUUAAUGUGAGUAUUUCUCACUCUGUAAUAAGACAUCUUUACCUAUGAAAUUUGAUCUAUAUGAGGUGCAGAGAUUUAAAAAAACAUGCAAAAAAUACCUUAAACAUCAAAACUGAGAGGCUACAACAAAUAUUUCACAUAAGUUUUAAAAAUGUAUUCAUGUUCCCAAAAUAUGUUUGUCUUUUUUAUUUAUUUGUAUUAAUACUUUCAAAAUGUAUUUGCAUUACAAAAUUCAAUUCUUAUUUUAUUUCUCAUUAGUGUUCAUGUAAAAUACUUUUAUAUGUUUUGUGAAAUAUAUUUUAUCACCUUUCUAAAAUAGUUGUGACUUUGACCUUCAGGGCCACCGUACACCCUGAUAGCAGAUGCUGCUAUGUAAGGUGUGCAUCAGAUUUUUACUAAUUCCAUUCACACACCACUGGACACUAUCAGGGGAGCAGGUGGGUCAAAUCCCCUGACCAAGAACACCUCAGCUUGUGGACGGCAGGACCUUAAAUCAAACCCUUUUGAUUGGGCCUCCAAAUCUGUUAAGCGACUAAAAAAUCAGGUAAGGAUCAGCUGGUAUUUGCACAUCAUUAAUCAUAUCAUUAAAUGGAUUACAUAAAGCUACUCCUGAGAUAUUCUUAAUAUUGAUUGUUUAUAGUUGUAUUUCCCUGCUUGUCAUGUUCCUCUUUGUUUUAAGAGGUGCAUUCAGCUUCUCUGAGUUUAGUACUGCUACUGCCAAGUCAGUAGAUGAGCACUAAUUCCUGUCAUGUGUCUUGAGUGUAGAGUGAACUUUGCACACACUUCUGUCCCUGAAAUAGAUGAUGAGAUAAAUUUCCUGCAGAAAUAAGGAUUAAAGAAAAACACAGCCAUUGCUCAGGAGAAAUAAAAAAUAAGCCACGAGAGAGUAAAGACAGGAAGGUUACUGGUGGUCCUAUUUGAAUAAAAUGGAUAUCUCUAGUUAGUAAAGCUCAGUCUCCGUCAGAUCUCGCUGAGAAAUGCAGUGUCUGAUUGUGGGAGUUGACACAAUGCCAGGUUUGUGUGUGUGAAAACUCGGGGACAAAGCCAGGUAUGACAGCUGGUGCCCGUGUUGACUCACAGCUACUACCACGACCCCACGUUGAUACAUUUGCAAAACAAAACAACGGCCCUCUACACUCGACACACCGUAUAUUCCACCCUGCACUCUCACUGAUGCAGAAAACAACCGCAAUACCUGUAAACAGUCCUUUCCUCUAACUUUGUUGACGUCUUGUAAUACCUCCACUUCUCAUACUGUGUUGCAGUAUGGGGAUUCCUACAUGUCAGCUUUCUUCAAUUUAGUGGAUGUCCCCGCAGCUUGAGUGUUUUGACAUCCCUCUCUUAUUUCUAUGCUGCUUUCUCACCUGGUCUCACCUGUCUACUGUAAACCAUUAACCACAAAUAUAAAAGUUUAGUGGUCUUUAAAUUAAUACAAAGUUUUAUUUAAAAUAUCCACCAUGAUGUCCAAAAUUACUAUAGGAUUUUGAUAUUGAUUUUUGACCAAUCAGAAUCAAGUUUGUAACACAACUACGCAGUGUGUAGAAAAGCCUGAUAAUAAAAUGACAAUAAGUUUUUAGAAAUUCGCCAAUUAGCGCAUAUCUUAGUUACAUAUAAUACAGGGAAAUUACAAAUUCUUUUGCCUGCUAUAUGGAAAAUAUGACAAAAAUGUAACAUACCAUAUCUUUUUAAACAGUGUUGUUACAUAUACUGUUACUAUAUAGGCUUACAUAAGCAUAAUGAAAAAAGCCAGUGUAGUAUUACCAUUGUGUAUUCUUUUCACUGUACCGUCUGGUGGCUCGUACUCCUCCAACCCCCCUCCAGUACUCCCCUACUUUCUUUCUUUCUUUGUUUAUAUUUUUCCUCUGUCACUCUCUCUCUCUCUCUCUCUCUCUCUCCUUCUAUCCACAUGCGCUUAGAGAAACACGCUGGUGACCGUGCAGAUGUGAGUGUGGCUUGUUUUAGCUGUGCUGUUUGGCCCUUUUGUGUCAGCAAUACAGCAGCAAUUGUUCCAGCUAAACAAUGAUUUUUUUUUUUUUAAAGUGCUGUUGGUGCAUCACAUUGUAGUAAAUGAGAAUUAACCGUGUUUAAGUCCAAAGAGAAAUGAGAAAAAGUCUAAAAGAAUUAAUUCAUUUGCUAUGAAAAGCUACACCAAAACAGUCCUGUGUGUAUAAUAAUUAGACAAUACAACAAAAGGUUUGAUCUCUGCUCCAUUAUUUAUCCAUUACUGGUAAUAGAGAGAUUAAUGGAAAGCAUUUGAGAAAGCCUUUUUACAAUAAUUUAUAUCAGUGCCCUCAUCUGCACCUGUCUGUAAAGAUCUCCAGCUGCUUUUUAGUACAGUGCUCCCAGAAUUACAGCUUUCCCACUAAACUGCAAGAUGACAAAAUUCAUUAAGACUUUAAAAAGAUCUUUUUUAAGAUUACUGACUCAGGGGUGAACCUUGUAGGCCUCUGCUCACCAUCAUACUCUGUAAUUUGUCUUUAAAGACAAGAGCCCUCUCGUAUUUCCUUGAUAUUUCCCAAAGGAGAGAAGAUAUUGAAUCAUGGAUUUCAUGCAGCUAACCUGCCAUCUGCCUAAUUGCCUAAGAACAGAUCCACAUUCUUAGUUUUUCUGGAAGAAAAGGACAUAAAAAUAAACAUGACCAGUACAUACACCGAUAGGACUGUUUGUUCUGGCACUCUGAACUGAGAAAACUUCCACAUCUCUUGACCCAACAUCGUUUACUUAUAACAGUAUGCAUCCUUACAUGACAAAGUACCAAAUGACAACAAUUUCACCGCACAGACUGUGACGACUGAAUUCUCAGAUUCUUUAAAUACCAGUCAAACUCAACACAUGCUCGUUGUUUGAAUAAUAAUAGUGAGAUAUUUUACAUACAUCCUUUCUACCUUCUCAUGAGACACGCCUUUUUUUUCCUAUUCUUGAUCUUCCUUUACUUUCCCUUCCUCUCUCUUCCUCAUCCUUACACUCAACUUUUCUCUUGCUCUUAGCAGGAUUCAAACCAGCCAACCAUUUCUUUCAAAGGCAGCAGUCCUAUCCAUCCCAGCACAGGUCUGCCUGGCAGUGCUCACUUUUCGAGGUCUUUUCAUUUCACCAUAUUGCUUUGUUGAUCAAAAGCACAGCGCAGUGCUGCAGUUUGAGGCAAUUUUUUCAAUUUUAUCCCAGAAAAAUAAGUCACUUCCCCAGCUUGGAUAUUACAACCAGAACUCUUUGACUGUGAGGGAGGACCACUACACCACCAUGGAAGGAUUCCCUUUUUUUAAGGUUUCACUACCUUCCGGUUAAUUCAAAAACUUUUCCCAUCUUCAAACAGUCUGGACUUGAACCCACAACUCUUGGACCAUCAUGCAGGAACCUUAACCACUUUACCACUGGGCUGCUUGUUAGGUUUUCUGUUUUAGAGGUUCCAUUACCUCCCUGUUCAUUCAGGAAAUCUAAAAGAUUUUCCAAACAUCAUAUAGACAGACCCGAACCUGAUUUGAACUUAAAACUUUUGGAGUGGGAGGCAAACACAUUAACCGCUACACCACUGUGGUGCCUGGAAAGUUUCACUUUUCAAGGUUCUUCUACUUUCCUGUUCAUUCUGUUAAAUAAAAACAUUUUUCCCAACUUGACGAUGGCUGCAUAAGAGCAUUUCUCAGGCUUUAUCUUGAAGGAAGGAUGACACAUCUACUCAAAAGACAAAAAAAUGCAAAUCUGGGUUUUGAACCAUGUGCCGUAAAGUUUUAAUCACCAGGAAAAUUUCUAAACUCUUUAAAUUUAGAUAAUUUGCAAACAAAUUUCUCAGGUUUUUACAGCAUUUGCAAAUGUUUAAAAUAAAUAUCCAAAGAGUAAGUUACAUUUUAGUUUUAAAUCUAAUGUUCCUGAGUACAAAACAGAAACAGCUUUAUGUCAGAACAUCAUGCUAUGAUGUUUGUACCUUGCUCUAGGGGUUGGGGUAGUUGCACGUGUCAGAUGAAGUGAAGGGAAAUGGCUAAUGGCAAGGAUUCUCCAUUAUGAUUGAAGUCCAGUGGGGGCUGGUGGAACCGGGGAAGUCUGGUACUCAUCUUCCCCCAGGGAGACAGAAACACAGUGGGAGUUAUUUCAAUUAGUCAAGUAGAGCCGCAACAAAGAGCCCAACCUGCUCCUUGCCACAGCGCAGCCUGGACAGAGACGGCUAAUCAUAUCAGGGUGGGGAUAAUGCACUUGAGAGAUGACAGACCAGGGUGGGUUAUAGAACAUGUUACAAGUGUCAGUCACUUACAGGGAUUUGAAUUCAUUGUCUGAUAAGUCUUUUGGUGGUAAAGAGGGCACAGAUUCAAAAAGAAGCUGGGGGUAUAAAGCUGCUGAGUAUUGAGGGAUGUUGUUGGGGCAUAACACAUAAUAUACUCUAUUUAUGAUACGCUCAAAAAGGUAGAUUUAUCUUUUGACUUGGCUUCAAACAUGACAGUAACCUGAUCAAUUCACUGUCUGAUCCAAGGAUUGAGAGUCUGAGCUUUGUGAGUCUCUUUCUUGCUUUUUGAAGAUAAUAGUCUCUGGGAAGCUUUGUUGUUCACAGGUCCUUUUUUUGCUGUCACUUCAAAGCCGUGUACAAUCUGGGCCAGAGGGGAUUUUAGCUUGGCUUGACCAGGCACACUUCUGCGCCCCUUUUCAUGUUUGGCACUUCAUUUCUUCUCUCUGACAAGCAGUGGGAGCUGACUCUGGGGGCCCCCCAAGCACUAAUUACAGGUCACCAUGUCAACUAAGAGGGGUUCUCCCCACUUUUAAACCUGUGACAUCUCAAGAGGGAGGAAGAGGCUUUGGCAUACAAUGAAUUUAUCUUAAUAUACAUGGAAAUGAAGUAUGCAUUAUUAAAGCCCAGCUGUUGUCCUUUAAGAGCCUGUACAUCUUCUUGCUUACGUCAUGUUGUCAUUCCUGAGUAUGAUCUUGGCUUCCCACGCUCCAACUUCUUUCGUCCAAGAUUUAAUAAAAAGAUAGUCGCAUACAAGCAUAACUGUUUUAAAAAGAGGUCUGCUUUAUUGACCAUUUUUCAUGGCCAUCUAAGAGCCAGUGAUGUCAAUGUUAUUUAACACCACAGUCAAGCAGGGGAGGUGAUGAAAUUUAUUGCAUUUUAUUAAAUAUUUCAAUUCCCUUUUUGAAAUCACUGAAAGAUCUGAGGCAAAUUUACACUGAAUUUGCAUUUGACCUCUGCAGAAGCCUAGAUUUGUAGCUUGGCAUGCACCCUCACAAAAAUUUUAAGCGAGUCAUAGCAAAGCAGGCUGUAUUUGCCCCAAUUCUUAUAUUUCUCUUGUCCUAUGCCCACACUGAUUAAAUAGCUGUACAUCCUAUCUUAUCUCAUUUCUCUUUAUUUUGAGUAUUUGAAUUAAUUUUUGAAAGAUCAGCAGCUGAUCAACAUUUUUCAGCUCCAACUCCAGCAUGAUACGCUUGGACUCUGUCACCACUAAUUUCCUGUACACAAACAAGCCGUAAAUUUAGAGCAACCAGACACUGGAAAUGUGGCAAUUUAUACAGCCAAAUCAGCAUUUGUGUGGAGUAUUCAUAGUUGUGUAGGCCACUACAGCUUGAAGUCAUCGUAGAAGUAUAAAUCAGGCUUUAGUUUGAAACCUGAUCCCAAACCAGACGAUAAAUAUCAUACAAAUAGCUCCUCUCCUUCUUGUUUGCAUUUGUAGGUCAUGAAUAGGCUAAUAAAGUAAGCCUGUUUAUCGAUCAGCUAAAAGUAAACAAAACAUCUUUGACUCUAUUUGGCUUACUUAAUCUAAUUUUAAUUGAAUAAACUGAUAAACCUUACUUACAACAUGCACUUUAUACUGUCAUCUUAAUAUUAACAUUCAUUUUGAGCCUGCAUUGUCAUAAUUGUAUACUAUAUUACCCCUUAAAGUUGCAUUGUAUUCUCCCAAAUGAUAAGACUUAUUUCAUAGUUGCAGAUUUUUUUCUUCCUCACAUUCCUGGUUGGAGGAUGAGGCAUGUAAAAGACAUCCAGCUGCAGGUUGUUUGUGCAAACACCAAAAUAAACGGCCCUAAAUCACUUGGCCAAACUUUAACCGCGUGUUCUUUUAGCAGGCCUAGAUAGGGUUGAUACCGCUGCUGUUCACCCCGCAGACUUCCAAAAUUAAUGCGGCAGAGCUCCAGUUCAGCACAGUUGGGAGGAAUGGAAUGAGAGGCAGCCGUGGGCGAUACCAACUUGGAAUUCCUUGAGGGGAGUUCACUACAAGUACCACAGCAAAGCUUGUGAUUAAAGCUACGCAAAUGAGUUUAACCGUGUAAGUGAGUGUAUUUUAUACUUUAUAUAAUCACAUUUUUUGCU